rnacentral:rRNA from 1 species
AUUGAACGCUGGCGGCAGGCCUAACACAUGCAAGUCGAGCGAGCGGCGGACGGGUGAGGAAUGUCUGGGAAACUGCCUGAUGGAGGGGGAAAACUACUGGAAACGGUAGCUAAUCACGACUACCAUCAGAUGUGCCCCGAUGGGAAUAGCUAGGGGGUGGGGUAACGUCUCACCUAGGCGACGAUCCCUAGCUGGUGUGAGAGGAUUACCAGCCACACUGGAACUGAGACACGGUCCAUACUCCUACGUGAGGCAGCAGUGGGGAAUAUUGCACAAUGGGCGCAAGCCUGAUGCAGCCAGUCCGCGUGUGUGAAGAAGGCCGUCGGGUUGUAAAGCACUUUCAGCGGGGAGGCGUUACCCGCAGAAGAAGCACCGGCUAACUCCGUGCCAGCAGCCGCGGUAAUAC